rnacentral:rRNA from 1 species
CGACAGCAGAAUGAAGGCCAGGCUGAAGACCUUGCUAGACUAGCUGAGAGGAGGUGCAUGGCCGUCGUCAGUUCGUACUGUGAAGCAUCCUGUUAAGUCAGGCAACGAGCGAGACCCGCGCCCAUAGUUGCCAGCAAUCCCUCUGGGGAGAUGGGUACACUAUGGGGACCGCCUCUGCUAAAGAGGAGGAAGGAACGGGCAACGGUAGGUCAGCAUGCCCCGAAUCUCCCGGGCUACACGCGGGCUACAAUGAUCGGGACAAUGGGAAUCGACACCGAGAGGUGAAGGUAAUCUCCUAAACCCGAUCGUAGUUCGGAUUGGGGGCUGAAACUCGCCCCCAUGAAGAUGGAAUCCGUAGUAAUCGCGUCUCAAAAUGGCGCGGUGAAUAUGUCCCUGCUCCUU